GACGAACGCUGGCGGCGUGCUUAACACAUGCAAGUCGAACGAAGUGGCGAACGGGUGAGUAACGCGUAAUCAACCUGCCCUUCAGAGGGGGACAACAGUUGGAAACGACUGCUAAUACCGCAUACUGAAGGAGGGGAUUGCGUCGGUUUAUCUAGUAGGAGGGGUAACGGCCAACCAAGGAGAUGAUCAGUAGCCAGGCUGAGAGGAUGAACGGCCACAUUGGGACUGAGACACGGCCCAGACUCCUACGGGAGGCAGCAGUGGGGAAUGUUCCGCAAUGGACGAAAGUCUGACGGAGCAACGCCGCGUGAGUGAUGACGGCCUUCGGGUUGUAAAGCUCUGUUAAUCGGGACGCGGUACCGGAAUAGAAAGCCACGGCUAACUACGUGCCAGCAGCCGCGGUAAUAC
rnacentral:rRNA from 1 species